rnacentral:rRNA from 1 species
GACGUAGGGGGCAAGCGUUACCCGGAAUUACUGGGCGUAAAGGGAGCGUAGGCGGGAGGUCAAGUCCGGUGUGAAAGUCCCUGGCUCAACCAGGGGAUAGGGCUGGAAACUGACAAUCUUGAGUACAGCAGAGGAAGAGGGAAUUACCGGUGUAGGGGUGAAAUCCGUAGAGACCGGUAGGAAGGCCAGUGGCGAAGGCGCUUUUCUGGGCUGUUACUGACGCUGAGGCUCGAAAGCCAGGGGAGCAAACCGGAUUAGAAACCCUAGUAGUCC